ensembl:lncRNA
GAACACAGAGAAGAUGCUGGUCCAUGUUCCAUCCCUUGGGUUUACAGUGAACUGGAAGAAGAUCAGUCUCCAGCCUUGUCAACAAUGUUUAAAAAGAAGAAGGGAAAGAAGAAGUGUGAGGCAGUGUGUCUGGUAAAGGGAAGUGAGAGAAGUCCAACACAACAGCUGCUACCCUUCCUGCAAAGCCGUUCCCUGACAAACCACUCUGUUUGUCUCUGGGUCAGCAAGAAGGCCAAAAUACACACACACAC